GACGAACGCUGGCGGCGUGCUUAACACAUGCAAGUCGAACGCUGAAGCUUGGUGCUUGCACUGGGUGGAUGAGUGGCGAACGGGUGAGUAAUACGUGAGUAACCUGCCCUUGACUCUGGGAUAAGCCUGGGAAACUGGGUCUAAUACUGGAUACGACAUGUCACCGCAUGGUGGUGUGUAGAAAGGGUUUUACUGGUUUUGGAUGGGCUCACGGCCUAUCAGCUUGUUGGUGGGGUAAUGGCUCACCAAGGCGACGACGGGUAGCCGGCCUGAGAGGGUGACCGGCCACACUGGGACUGAGACACGGCCCAGACUCCUACGGGAGGCAGCAGUGGGGAAUAUUGCACAAUGGGCGAAAGCCUGAUGCAGCGACGCCGCGUGAGGGAUGACGGCCUUCGGGUUGUAAACCUCUUUCAGCACGGAAGAAGCGAAAGUGACGGUACGUGCAGAAGAAGCGCCGGCUAACUACGUG
rnacentral:rRNA from 1 species